GCAACAGCUUAAAACUCAAAGGACUUGACGGUGCUUACACCCACCUAGAGGAGCCUGUUCUGUAAUCGAUAAACCCCGAUCUACCUCACCGUUCCUUGCUAAUUCAGUCUAUAUACCGCCAUCUUCAGCAAACA
rnacentral:rRNA from 1 species